rnacentral:rRNA from 1 species
UGCCAGCAGCCGCGGUAAUACAGAGGGUGCAAGCGUUAAUCGGAAUGACUGGGCGUAAAGGGCGUGUAGGCGGAUACGUAAGUUAGAUGUAAAAUCCCUGGGCUUAACCUAGGAACGCCAUCUAAUACUGUGUAUCUUGAGUAUGGGAGAGGAAAGUGGAAUUUCCGGUGUAGCGGUGAAAUGCGUAGAUAUCGGAAGGAACACCAGUGGCGAAGGCGGCUUUCUGGCCCAAUACUGACGCUGAGGCGCGAAAGCGUGGGUAGCAAACAGGAUUAGAUA